rnacentral:ncRNA from 2 species
UAAUAACAAAUUUUUUGAUUUCGUAUAAUUUCGAGGAUAAGGCUCGAUAGUUUCUACCGACUAGCCGUAAAUUAGUCGACUACGAGAUAUAGUUAUAUUGGU